GCUGGUGUAGCUCAAUCGGUAGAGCCCCCGCCUUUUAAGCGGGUGGUUGUGGGUUCGACUCCCACCGCCGGCAC
rnacentral:tRNA from 1 species